CCCAAGCCGCCGCUCACCAUCUUCCUGUUCCCCCAUUCACAGCCUCCCAUCUCACUAAACCAGUAACCUCUCCCCUUCAUCUAACCCGUGCAACCCAUUUCCCUCCACUACAGCCAACACUCCCUAUAUCCUCUCCUCUCCCAGCCGGCUUGCUCUUCUUCUUCACCCAUAGAAGUCAGCCGCCGCUGCACACACCGGA
rnacentral:lncRNA from 1 species